rnacentral:lncRNA from 12 species
AUGUUUUCAUUACUGGGGUAUUUUGUACCACUUUUCACUUUCAUUUUAAAAAGGGAUAUUGAAAAGCAAGACCUGCAUCCAUGUCCACACAGCAGCAGUGAUGAAACUCUCCUCUCGCGCUCUCGUCUCCCUCCUGCUGAGAGCAGCAGUGGCAGGAGUCAGAACCGCAGCAGCCCCCCGCCCCCAGCCCGCCGAUCUCUGCACCCGCCACUCCGUGCCUCACCCGCGGCCUCUAGAAAGGAGUUUCAAAGGGAUGGAGAAAUCACCCGACCCAUUGUGUCAUCCCCGAAGAGGUUUGCAGUGGUCUCUCCCAAGCCUCAGUCCCCUGGUGAGUGUGUGAUGUCUUUUUAUUCUGCUCCGCUGCUGCCACUCCUCCCACUGUCAUCUCCCAUUCCUUAUUAACCGGCUACCAGUGGUUGUCAUAGCAACACUGUGAAGACUAAAGACUUCCAUUAGGAAACUGGCAAGUAAUUCCCUCGCUAAUGUUUCUCCACUAAUAAAAUUUUUUGUUUCCUCAAUAAUUCAGUUAAAAUACACAAUAAAUUGAAAUACCAAUAUAUAAUGUUAGUUUGAAAACAUUUACAAAUGAAAUACAUGCAUAUUUAUAAAAAGAUAUUCUAAAGUCUUUUUUUAUGAUUUUGAAAGAAGUCUCUUAUGGUCACCAAGACUUAAUUUAUUUGAUCAAAAAUACAGUAAAACAGUAAUAAUGUGAAAUAUUUUUACAGUUUAGAAGAAUAAAUAUUUUCUAUUUUGAUAUACUUUAAAAUGUAAUUUAUUCCUGGGAUGCAAAGCUGCAUUUUCAUGAGAAAAUACUUCAGUGUCACAUGAUCCUUUGGAAAUCAUUCUAAGAAGCUGAUUUUGUCCUCAAGAAAUAUUUCUUAUUAUUAUGAAUGUUAAAAUCAGUUUUUGCUGCUUAAUAUUUUUGUGGAGACCAUGAUACAUUUUCUUCAGGAUUCUUUAAUGAACUUGAAUAAAAAUUUAUUUGAAUAGAAAAUUCAAAAGAACAGCAUUUAUUUGAAAUGAAACUCUCUUGUAAUGUCAUCAUUUAUGUUACUUUUGAUCAUCCGUAAAAGUAUUAAUUUUAAAAAAAUAAAUCUUACUGACCCUAACCUUUUGGACAGUAGUGUGUAUACCUGUAUAUGUGUAUAUGUAUGUACAUUUUAAAUUCACAUAUGCAAAAAAAAAUAAUAAUAAAAUAAAAAAUUCAAAUAAAUUAAUUUUGUUUAAAAUUUGAAAAGUCUGGUAAAUAGAAGUAUUUUCACUCAUGGGCUUCACUGUUUUACCAUACAUAUGUUACAUAUAUUUAUGGAUUAUGUAAUCCUGACGCCAUCAUCUCUGAGCUGACUCAUCAGGGAGCAUUAUGUGUGUUCAUGCAAGUCAGCAGUAACUGCUGAAUGUUUGACCUAAACAUAGUCUUUAUGGUCACAUUAACAUAUGGUCGUUAUACAGCUGUAAAUAUGAAACAUUUAAUUAAGCAAUAAUUUACAGUAAUUGACUUAAAUGACACAUGUAUGAAAUAACAUGAAUUGCAGUCAUAUUUCAAGCAUACUUGUAGUUUAAAAUAAACUGAGAGAAUCUUACAAAGCCUAUCACAGUCAAAAUUCACUAAUUUUGUAAUAAUAAUCUUAAUCUCAUACUAACACUUUUCAUUUUCUUUAUGCUCUUUUUUCAUAUGUUUUGUUCAUCCUACAGUCCGUCAGAAGUCAUGUGUGGCCCGUCUGGGUGGGCGUGCAGAGGGCGUGG